AUGGCUGUAAAGAGGAAGAACAAAUUUUUAAUCGAAGCUCUUUUAGAGAGCGGAGCAAACGUUAAUGAAAACCUUGGUGAUGGACGCAGUGCAUUCGAUCAAGAGGAGAGGACCGGGGCGAAUAUACCGUUUACACUUUUUUCGGAAGUAGCUGUAGACAUUAAAACUAGUCCGAAAGAAGGUUGGACCGCGUUACACGAAGCUGCUUUUGGAGGGAGUGCAACGACGGUACAAAUGUUGUUGGAUGGGGGAGCAAACAUCGAUGCGCAAGCAACUGAUGUUACAGGAUUCGGUAGCGUGACUCCACUUCUUGUUGCGUUGAAAGAGAGACAAUGGCACGCAGCUAUUGUACUUAUAAAGAGAGGUGCCAGUCUAGAGCCCGUGAACAAAGGUCGGAACGCGUUAUUUUACGCCGUCGAGGGAAGUUGCUCAGAAAUAGUGGAUUUAAUCAUAGGCCGUGGUUUAGACGUUGAUGAUACUUAUAACAAGUACUCCUUGCGCCUAGCUUUCCGCGAAUCUUUCACUCACCUAAAUCUAGCGAUCAUAGGAAAAUUGUUAACCCAUGGGUUCACGAUCAGCCCUGCAGAUGUUACUUUGCCUGGCCUGCUGAUGUGUGCCAUCUUAGAAAAUUGCACAGAUAUCGCUCAAAAGAUUCUUGAGGCUGGUGCCUGUCCAAAUCAGACCCUUUCAAUUGAGGAGAAGAGUUUGUACCCAAAGAUCUUCAAUACCUGCAAGGAAUUUUUAGAUGAUAAUACAGCCAGUCAAUCUGGAGGCUCUGCCUUAAUCACACCAAUGACAGUCGCUGUUGUAAGCCAGAACGUGGACGCAGCAAAAUUACUCUUAGAUCGGAAUGUCUCCGUGUAUGGUCGCGCAGACUUUCUACGUUGUGCUUUGGAAGCCCACCACCACGAUAUGAUAAAUCUACUGGUAGAAAAUGGUUGUCCCGUCAGUCCUUGCGAUGGUAAAUCGCCUUUGGGUUUUGCAUUCCGCAAUGCGUGCGAGACGUGCGUUGACGUACUGAUGAAGCACGGCGCUUCUUUCGAAUUCGAACGAAUUAGCUUCGACCUUGACUACCUCACGGAAUACGACGUGGAUUCUACUCCCGCUAAAUUUUUUGCAGCGUACCUUCAUCGUGGCUUCACGGAGCCAACAUUUCGUGGUAAGAGGUACUUGGAAAAAUUGUUGGAUAACUUUGUUGAUGAUUGGUGUUUCAGUCAUUUUGAUGAUAGCGAUGAUAGUGAUUUUCAUUUGAUUCUUAUGGUUUUAAGAGAAGACAAAGCGUUGAUUUUAGCCUAG
rnacentral:lncRNA from 1 species